GUAAUUUUCUAGAUGAGUCAUUCUCCCAUAUUUACAUAUUGAAAUAUACAUUAUCAAAAAUUAAGGUAAGUUAAUUGUGUUUAUUCCUCUUUUUAGUUCUGUAUUAGGGCACAUUGCUGUUUUUUUAAAUUAUGGGUGAAAUCUCAUUUCAGGAUAGUAAAGUAAAUAUUACAAAACAUGUGUUCUUAAAAUAUUUCAGGUAAUAAGUCUGGCAGGACUGAGAACUAGGAAUCUGGAUGAUCUCUGAAUCUAAAUAACAAGGAAAGAAGGGUUACCUCUGGACCACAGCAGCCACAUCCACAAAGGUGUAAACCCAAAGGUCCAAGACAUAAGAAGCCUUCAAAAGACAUCUCUACCCAAUGUCAUCUGUAUUUAGCUCCAAGUUCUUUGCCAAAGGAAUGGGUUUGUUAUCACAGAGCUCCAGCCCCAUCAUCCCUCUUCUGUACAUAUCCACUUACUCUUCCAGCAUGAGGCCCUCAGAUGCGGAGCAGAUGCCAGCCUCCUGAACUGUGAGUCAAACCUCUUUUCUUUGUAUAAAAAUUAUCCAGUCUCAAGUAUUCUGUUAUGGCAACAUAAAGUGGCCCAAGAUAGGUGCUUUGGGGACAUCCAAGUAAAAAAUGUAAUAGGAAGUUGGACAUAAGUGUACAGAGUUAACAG
rnacentral:lncRNA from 1 species